rnacentral:rRNA from 1 species
CGAAGCGAAGCAGUGAUGUGAAGCAAAUCGCNCCAAAGCCAGUCCCAGUUCGGAUAAGAGGCUGAAACUCGCCUCUUUGAAGUCGGAAUCGCUAGUAAUCGCAGAUCAGCAUGUUGCGGUGAAUACGUUCCCGGGUCUUGUACACACCGCCCGUCAAACCAUGAGAGUCACCAACACCCGAAGUCCGCCUUGGCGGCCUAAGGUGGGGGAGAUGAUUGGGGUUAAGUCGUAACAAGGUACC